rnacentral:rRNA from 1 species
UACGAAGGGGGGCUAGCGUUGUUCGGAAUUACUGGGCGUAAAGGGCGCGUAGGCGGCUGUGCAAGUCAGGUGUGAAAGCCCUGGGCUCAACCCAGGAUGUGCACUUGAUACUGCGCGGCUAGAGUGUCGGAGAGGAUGGUGGAAUUCCCCAGUGUAGAGGUGAAAUUCGUAGAUAUUGGGAAGAACACCGGUGGCGAAGGCGACCAUCUGGACGACAACUGACGCUGAGGCGCGAAAAGCGUGGGGGAGCAAACAGG